rnacentral:rRNA from 1 species
UCGGGAAUUUUGGGCAAUGGGUGAAAGCCUGACCCAGCAACGCCGCGUGAAGGAUGAAGUAUUUCGGUAUGUAAACUUCGUAAGAAUAGGAAGAAUAAAUGACGGUACUAUUUAUAAGGCCCGGCUAACUACGUGCCAGCAGCCGCGGUAAUACGUAGGGACCAAGCGUUGUUCGGAUUUACUGGGCGUAAAGGGCGCGUAGGCGGCAUGACAAGUCACUUGUGAAAUCUCUGGGCUUAACCCAGAACGGCCAAGUGAUACUGUCGCGCUAGAGUGCAGAAGGGGCAAUCGGAAUUCUUGGUGUAGCGGUGAAAUGCGUAGAUAUCAAGAGGAACACCUGAGGUGAAGACGGGUUGCUGGGCUGACACUGACGCUGAGGCGCGAAAGCCAGGGGAGCAAACGGGGAUUAGAUACCCUCGUAGUCCCUGAGCGGGCUGGCAAGGCGCAU